UACAGAGGGUGCGAGCGUUGUCCGGAAUCACUGGGCGUAAAGGGCGCGUAGGCGGCCUGAUAAGUCGGGGGUGAAAUCCUGCGGCUUAACCGCAGGGCUGCCUUCUAAACUGUCAGGCUAGAGCACAGUAGAGGCAGGUGGAAUUCCCGGUGUAGCGGUGGAAUGCGUAGAGAUCGGGAAGAACAUCAGUGGCGAAGGCGGCCUGCUGGGCUGUUGCUGACGCUGAGGCGCGACAGCGUGGGGAGCAAACAGG
rnacentral:rRNA from 1 species